rnacentral:rRNA from 1 species
UACGAAGGGGGCUAGCGUUGCUCGGAAUCACUGGGCGUAAAGGGUGCGUAGGCGGGUCUUUAAGUCAGGGGUGAAAUCCUGGAGCUCAACUCCAGAACUGCCUUUGAUACUGAGGAUCUUGAGUUCGGGAGAGGUGAGUGGAACUGCGAGUGUAGAGGUGAAAUUCGUAGAUAUUCGCAAGAACACCAGUGGCGAAGGCGGCUCACUGGCCCGAUACUGACGCUGAGGCGCGAAAGCCAGGGGAGCGAACGGG